GAGGGUAUAGCUCAGUGGUAGAGUGCAUGCUUAGCAUGCACAAAAGUCAUGGGUUCAAUCCCCAGUACCUCCA
rnacentral:tRNA from 1 species